ensembl:lncRNA
CCUCCGGCACGUGACUCGCAGAUCUUCUCACUUAAACUGGCGACUAACCUGCCGCCCCGUAGCUGUGGGGCCCACCGGCCGGAGACCAAACCGGGCUCUCCGCGGGAGGCUCCUCCCCUAUGCGGUGCUGAAGAGCUCCCAAAGCAACUGGAGCCCAAGAAGCCAUGAUCCUGGGGAGCAGGUAGGCCCAGAGAAGACAGCCUGGCAGGCGUUGCUGCCACUUUGUUCCACCAUGACAUUGCUGCUGUGAAAGUGAUGGCUGAGAGGCUGAGGCACUGAGCGGGAGGGGAAAUAUAAAAGAUGCUGAAACAAAGCAAAAUGCAUUUUUAGACACCUCAGGGCCGCCACACAGGAGCAGGGCUAGCACCCACCAGGCUUUUAGCGAUGCUGUGAAGGACACGCCUACCCAGGAGCAGAGGAAAACAGGGGCUGCCUCCAAUCGGCUCAGUCUAUGGUGGAUUAGAGUCACCUGCCCUGCCCUGACUGCCCCCGUGUUAGUGAAUCAGCUCUAAGUUCAUAAUUGGUUUCUUAUUUCAUUGUGGGCUUGUGAAAGCUGAGUGUUAUGUCUGGUGUUUAAGAUAAGCAGCUUUACAAGCAUGUUUUCUUCCCAUAGUAGCUUAAAAGGUGCUUGUGACAGUUUCUAAAACCUAAACACAAAACACACAGGCUUUUCUGUUUUUCUGAGUUUUGUUUUGUUCUGUCUUUAAAUUCUUUUUCAGGCUUUUUGACGCAUCUGGAAGGAUAUGUAUCAACACUAUUAGAGUGGUUCUCUCAGCCUGGCAUGUUUUCAGGAAUAUCACUUUCUUCUUUGAACUUUUCAAAUUCCAUUUGGUUUUUAAAACAAAUUUAACUUUUAUAAAUGGAACUGUUUUAAAAAGUUUGUGUGCCUUUCUUUACUGGCAAAUCUUGAUUAUAUAUUACUGUUGUACAACCUGCUUUUCAUUUUG